UGUAUCUUUAUUUGCAAAUUUUUAAAUAGAUGGGAUUUCAAAGAGCUGUCUAAAGAUGAAAUAUCCUUAUAAAUGUUAAUUCAUACAAUUGAUACUUAAUAAAUUAGGUAUCUUAUAAUAAGCAGGUUAUACGGACACAUAAACUGAAUAAGAAUUAAACAGGUUCUUAGUUUUUCACUGCUUCACCCUUAGGUUGCAAACUCCAAAAUGACAAAUUUUGUUUGAAUCGCUUAAUCCCUUGGACGCAGAGAAUGGCUCACACUGAUGACAAUGUCUACUUUGUCACUACUUGGUUUUCAGGCUGCAAGACUACGGGGAGCAUUAAGUCAGAUUCCUUAAGCCUUGCCUAGAGCAGAAUCCUAACUGGGGACUCAUCCAUCCCUCAGAUGAUCAAUGUCCAUCUUUC
rnacentral:lncRNA from 1 species